rnacentral:sRNA from 1 species
AUGAACGAGUGUGGUGCAAUGGGAGAGGCCCUGGGGCUUAGCUUCAGUUCGCACAAAUCUGGGCUGAUGGCCUUUGGGGCAGCAGAGGAAAACGGGACCGUCAACCUGUCCAUUCAGGCCAACCCUGUACCUUGGGUGGACCACUACAAAUAUCUGGGUGUAAACCUACAGAAGAGACUCCACUACCUCCUAGAGCACGAGACGAAGGUCAAGGCGAAGGGCAGGAGGAACAAGGGCACAGCAACUUCCAGGGCCCUCUUGGGAUAUAACCGAUACGAGGUAACCCGAGCGGUCUGGAAGAUGGUGGCGGUGCCGGGGCUCACUUUCGGCAACUCAGUGUUGUGCCUGUCAUCAGGUACCAGGCAAUACCUCGAGGUCCGCCAGAGGGAGGCGGGAAGGUCGGCACUGGGAGCAAGCCGAACAGCACCGUGCGAGGCCGUCCAAGGAGACAUGGGCUGGUCCAGUUUUGAGGCCAAGGAGGCCCGAGCCAAGCUGGACUUUGAGCGACGCCUCAGCCGGAUGAGCGAAGAGCGCUGGGCCAGACAAGUUUUGAAGUAUGUGCAUCUUCGGUCCGUCCCAACCCGGUGGGUGCGACGGACGCGCCAGCUGGCACAGCGGUACGAGGUCAGCGGCCCACUCCUUUACCCAGCCGCGGAGCAGAUGGAACUGCAGCAGAGCAUCCGCACGAGGGUGAUCGAGAGCGAGACGCGGCGGUGGGCGGAAGCGGCACGUCUGAAACCAGCGCCGGCCCUGUAUGCCAUAGAGAAACCGGAGGCGAAGUGAAUACCUUUCAUGGACAACAGCAAGGGCAGUCCACUGCUGUCGGACGCCCGAAGCGGCAUGCUGCGGACCCGCGUGUUCCGCGCGAAGUACAUGGACAUGGAAGUGAAGUGCGCCAUGUGCGCGCAGGGAGCAGACGAGACGGCGGAACACGUCAUACUGGAAUGCAUGGACAUAAAGCCGGACGUGACGUACGAACGAGACAUGGCGGUGGCGCUGGGCUUCCGGGGCGUUAACGAACAGUACGCCGCCGAUAGUUCGCAGCCAGUGGAGGUGACAAAGAGGAGACUGGAGUGUUGGUGGAGGAGAGCAAGGGAACACAACUACGAUAUUGGCUAGUGUAGCUACCAGCCAGGCUAGAUCCAGCGCUGCUGAGAUCCCCCGAUACAAAGGGGUUAGCCCCAAAUC